CUACAGUAGCAUGGAACAAGUGAUCUUUUUUACAUACUCAUUUCCUGAUCAUUGAAACACAUUAAGGAGGCCAUAAAAAUAAUUUUGAUAUAUUAAUUUAGAUUAACGUAACUUGAUUGUAGCCAGGUACUGUGGUCAUAUAUGGUGCUCAGUUUUUGCAAUUUUCUUAUCAUACAAUAUCUAAGAUGAACCCAAGAGAAUAUAGUUUCUUUCAUUCAUUAAUCUUUUCUUUAUACAAAGGAAGAUAUAGAUAGGUUGAUUACAAACUGUACAGCUAAGCAAAUAGAAGUGCUGACAAUUCCACAUCCGUUUUACUUAUAAAUAUAUCUAAGAUGAACCCAAGAGAAUAUAGUUUCUUUCAUUCAUUAAUCUUUUAUUUAUACAAAGGACCAUGCCCGAUUGGUUUCACAAAGCUUGUCAAUGAUGAUAUGAUUAUGGAAUUUUCAUAAUCGCAUACUUUGCACUUGGGAUUAUCCUCUUCCUCGCGUACUUUGCACUUGGGAUUAUGAAAAUUUUGAUAAUUUUCAUAAUCGCGUCAUUGAUAUGGUCAAAUUGUUGAUCUUUCCUCUUCCUCGGAUAUACAGUUUUACAGACUGAGACCACUGAAGAAAGCUCUCUCUGUUGAGUUUUUGUAUUAUAAUCAGCAAGGAUGGAUGCCACCUAAGCUGUUUGUUGAAGAUGGAAGCAUUGGUUUCUAUUUUCUCUCCUUUAGACAUAAUAGCAUAGGUACCUCACAAAUGAAGAAGAAGAAAUAGUUGGGACUAAUCCGGAGAGUGGUAGAACAAAGGAAAUUUUUUUUAACAAUUAAGGUUGAGAGAAAGAAGAAAAACAAUUUCUAUUGAAACCAAGCUCCGAUACCAUGAACCAAGGUUCACAUUACCGAUCUAUACUAGUGUAACGAUUGAUCAUCGGUAUGGUAAGUGCCAAGGUAUUGUAUGUCGGUAUGUGUCGUACGAUGGGGCAUAUCGAUGGUUUAGAAAAAUUAUCGAAAAUAACUCAAAAAAGGAAGAAAGUUAGAUUAAAGUUUUUAAGUUGGAAAUAAAUUUAAAUUUACUAUAAUUUAGGAAAGAAUAGUGAUACAUAUUUUUCGAGCUUUAAGGAAUAUCUUUGUGGUACAUACUUAAUCGUCCUUAUGUUAAUAUUGAAUUAUUUACAAAAAAAAAUGAUUUGAAUUAUUAGAUUACUUAUUUAAAUAGCUUAAACUUUAAGAUUCAAAUGAAACAAGUAAUUAACGAUAAAUUAUUAGAUUAUUUAUUUUAACAACUUAAACUUUAAGAUUCAAAUGAAUCAAGUAAUCAAUCGAUGGAUAUACAUGGUUCUAUCACAAAAAAGAAUGACGGGAUUCCACUUGUUGUGGAUCGGGAUCUUCAAUCCUCUAUAUCUAUAUAUAAAUUUGAUAUAUUUGAUAGACCCAAACCUAAAAUUGAUCCCGCGACAUAGUAUACUGAUGCACCG
rnacentral:lncRNA from 1 species